CAUGGAAACAGCCUGCCCAAGAACUGAUGCAGUUUCCCCAUCACCAAAUUUGCGGACCCCUGGCGAGACCCACAGACCAGAUUUCCAUGGGUCCAUGGGCUGGGGGGUGGAUCCCCCUGCACUAGAUUAUUAUAAUAUAAUUAGAAUUUGGGUUGACAGACGUCUCAGAGUAUUCUGGUUACCGUAACUUCUUACUCAACAGAUCUCCUUGUUUAGUUGCAGGCUCUAAUGAAAAUGGUAUGUUUUUUCUAUUGUUAUGCCUUCAGAGUUGAUAUGAUUUUGAGCUAGAUUGUUUUCUUUGUAGAAAGGUGCAGCUGUCUUGCUCUGCAGACUUACCUGCUUAUGGAUCAUCAAUAAACAACUUGAUUAUGCCUUUCAGAGCUUAGAUUAAAUCUGAAGUCACUAUUUAGAGAAGAAAAAUCUUUUGUUGUUGUUGUCUUCUGUAUGCUAUUUACUUGUAUGUUACUCAGAAUUGAUCUAGAAUCAGUAGGGAUGUUUUAAGCUUGUAAUGCUAUUUUUAGAGUUACUUUUCAGUGUAAAACACACUUUAAAAGAACUCUGAGAAAUAUGGCUUCCUAAUAAUCGCAGAAAAAAUUUCAUGAUUACUGCUAUGUAAAUCAGUUAAAUCAACAUAAUUUGCUUUAUAAAAACAUUUUAUAAAUAAUUAUGAAAUACUGAAUUUUUAAAAGAAAUAUUAGUGUUCAACAAUAUGAUUCUUCCUAAACAUCACACUAGAGCACAAGUAGAAAAUUAACAAUAAAUUAUAUAACUGAUCUUGAAAUAUCUAUAUUUGUGAUUACUUUUAAUAUUCUGAUUUUUUUUAAAUUGAUCAUAUUGGGGAUUUCAGUUUUUUGACUUGAUAUUUGAUCAUAUCCAUUUGAUAUAAUAGUUAUGCAGCUUAUUACAAAUUGUUAUUUGGGAACCAUGGAGGUUAUACAGUAGACAAAGCUAUUUUUAAAAACUGUCCUUCUAUUUAAUAUUUCCUUUGUGUAUGUAUUGAGUGAAAACGUUAACUUUUUAAAGUUUAUUUACUACGUGGUCAUAUUUGAUUUGAAUAGAAUUUUGGACAGAAGAUUGUAAAGGUAACUAUGAACUUAGUCCUUUGCACUUGUUUAUUUACUUUGAAUACAACAUAAAGUUAGCUUGUUUUGGAUUUUCAAAGAAAAUAAUUAUAUAUAUUUUUUGUAGUCAGUGCUUUACUGAUUUUUAUUUUCAUAGUUAUUUGCUGUACGUAUAUCUUAGCUAUUUCUGUGAAGUGAGUAGGAAGAUCUGUGUGGUAUCUGAAAGUUUUGAGUCACAUUUUAAUCAUGCUGGCACAUGUAUUUAGUCUACAAAGCACAAGACUUCUUUUUACACAGGCAAGUGAUUUGUUUUUAGAUACUGUGGUAAAGUUUUUAGUAGUGCUUGGCUUUGAUUUUUUUUUUUUAAUGGAGAUGUCAAGCAAAAGGCUGAAAAUCUAGAAGAUUGCUUGCUGAUAGUUAAACAGAAACUAGAACUGAUUACAUGUAUUGUGGCUUUGCCAGCAGCAACUUUUUAAAGAGAAUUUUUCUUACCAGAGGAAAGUUUUUGGGGGGCAUUGAUUUGAAGCAUCUGUUUAAAGAAUAAUUGUCAUAACUUUUUAUUUAUGUAUUUUGAUGCAUAUAAUUAACAAAGAUUAUUAAUUUGCCUUAAAUAACAAAAUUUGUUUUUCCCUAGUCUAACCAAGUUUUACUUCAUCUUCAAAGCAAAUAGUUUGUUAAAUUACAGUUUUGCAGUUCCUAUGCAAAUCUGCAAUGCCACAAAAACAAGUUUGUGACUUCAUUCCUGGAUGAAGCAACAUUUUGGUUAUGAGAGAUUAAAAAAUGGAAAAUUAUUGCCAAGUUGCAGGGAAAGUUGGUACUACAUUUAACAGUCCAAAUUUCAUUGCAAGGAAGCUACAAACUUUUCUCACAAAUAGGUAUCCGUGCAUUCCAUUGGAGUUCGAUCCUCAGUGGGAAUCAGUGGCGGCCAGAUUUCACUUUUUCACUUUUCAGUGAGAUUUCCACAGGUGCAUCUGAGUGCAAAGUUAUUUGUAGGAUAACUGGCAGGUGUUUUUGAUUGUUUGGAAGUAAGUUACAAUAAUAUAUUGAAGCUGGACUUAUGCUUCUGUAGGUCAGUUUCAGAAGUAAGGGCUUGUUGCAGAUAGAAAUGUAGGUACCCAUUAAAUAUUUAUUUAACCUGUUGUAAUUACAACAGAUUAAAUGAUUAAUUGGUAUGGCAGCCCCUGGCCUGGCUGACACGGGGCUGCUUCAGCUUGGCUUAUGAGGUGCCUCUGCCCAGCCUGGCACCAAUGGAGUGCUUCCAGUUGCCCGAGGUGUGGUGGGGAUGCAGUAGCUCCCCAGGGCCCAGCCUCACGACAGACAGGGUGGGAGGCUGGGUCCUAUCCGAGCCCAGGUCUGGGCAGGGCACGCCAUGGGGCUGAGCCAUGGGCCCAGGGGAGUUGCCCUACACACUCUUGUUUCCACCUUGCUUUGCCAGGCCCAGUGGCAGCUGUAGCAAUAGAAGGCACUGCACUUGGCAUGGCGUGGUAGUGCUGGGCUCCAACCCGUAGCUCUUUGAAGUCAGACCGGGGUGGGGACACAUGGAUGGACAGAUUGAGCCCUGGGCCUGGGCCUGCGCCUGCCCUCCCCUACCAUGGAGGAGGGGUUGCACCCAGUUGCCCAGAGCAACGUGGGGAGCAGGGGGUCCAAAGAAGCCCUGCCUCAUAGGCAGCACAGCCCAGGAAACCAGCAAGGGCCGGCAGCCACUGGUGCUCAGCUUCCCAGGGCCAGCUGCAGCAGCCAGCAAGGGAGGGAGGAGCUGCCUGCCUCCCUUCCUGGCACCCUCCUGCACUGCUGCAGCUGACCCCAGGAAGCCAUGUGCUAGUGGCUGCAGACCCUUGCUUCCUGGGCUGUUCUGCCUGCUACAGAAUGUGGCUUGUAGACUCUGGCAAUGUAGACUUGCUUGUAGACUCCCUGUCACCUGCCAUAAACAGUCCAGGCUCAAGGCCAGGCCCCUGCCACAGGGUCUGUACAGCCUAACUAUUAGGUAUUAGUCAGCCCUCCAUCUUCCCCCUCCCCAUUCCUCCUCCUUGCUCCUCCCUCCCUCCCUCUGCAUGGCUUAGCUUUUAGGUAUUAGUCACCCCUCCCCCAUGCCACUCCUCCCUCCCUCUGCAUCGCCUAGCUUUUAGGUCUUAGUCACCUUUCCCUGUCCCCCCCCCCCCCUUGCCACCUCCUCUCUCCUUUUGUUCCCUCCUGCCCUGCCACCUUCUGGUUCCUGCUGGGGCACAGCGGGGCUUCCCUUCUAACCCUGCUUCCCUGUCAGACUGUGCCGGCCCCAGGCUAAGUGAUAACCAGUAAACUAGAAUCAGUUAUUGCUGAGCUGAUUGGUUAAACCAGGGGCAGGCAAAAUGGCGGAUCUGGCAAGCAGCCAGACUUCAUUUCCCAGCAGCCCCUACUCGCAUAUCUGUGGCCAGUUUCCAUGAAGAGCCCAGGAGUGGUGGGGCCAGGAUUUUGCAGUGGUGACAGCAUGGGUUGGAGCCAGGUCAAAGCCGAGAUCCACUGCUUGCGCGCCCUCCACGCAAAGUCCUGGCCCGAGAGCAGCUUCCUGCCCAGCCAUGUGCCCUGCUAGUGCUGUUUGAGCCAGUCUCUGUGGAAAACCUGCCCACUUGCAUGCCUUGCCAGUGCUGCUUGGGCUGGUCUCCAUGGAAGCCCUAGCCCCACACUGUCACAGUCCCACAGCUCAUGGGGUCUCCAUGGAAACUGGCUAUAGCAACAUGGGCAAGGGCUGCUGGGAAAUCAAGUCUACCACAGGCCAGAUCAGGCCCAUGGGCUGGACUUUGCCUGCGCCUGGGUUAAAUGAUUGAUUAAUCACAUCCCUAGAUAUAGGUGUGGUUGGUAAUUAAUUUGGGCUAAACUCAAUUUCUGUACACUUCACUAACUUGCAUUCAUACAUCACCAUUAUUAAUAUGUAUUAACUGGUAGGAAAGUAUCUUUUAUAUUGUUGUUUGAAAACAGGUCAUGGAUCCUUAACUCACAAGUGUACUGUCAUUCAUUUGUGCAGUUUUGGGUCCUGUGAGUGUCAUCCCAAAUGCCUUAGCAUCCCUCCAGGACCAACAUUUAUCUUUAUACAUAUUCUCUUUAUUGCUCUGUUGAUGGGUUGUCACUUUAUUACUUGAUUGUUGGCAUGCAGCUAGGUUAGGCCUUUUUACCAUUAGCUAGCAUAACUGUACUGUAAUGCUAUACAACUUCCCCAUCCUACCCACCCCAAGAUGUUCAGAAGUCUUGGAUUUCUUUGCCCUUUGUGGGAAAGAUGAAGGUUCAGGAAACUCCAGAGAAGAAAAAUUGCAACAAAGAUCAUUGCAGUAUUGCUAAAGGGAUGGCCAACUGGUAUCACAACCUGGAUGCCCUGUAAUUGCAGACCAGAAAUAAGAAUCUGAAAUUGUCUUAAAAGGAAGCUAACCAGAAAAACUGGACCCUAAGCAGUACUCCUGUUACCUGUGUAAGUACUGAGGAGCCAGACUGACGUUUGCUACUGUAUGCCACUUUUGAAUCAGUUUGGGGCAGACAGCACUAAGGCAACUGAGAACAGCAGGAGCUCUGGGUCUGACUUGAAGUCUGGUAAUGAAGACUUGCUUGAAAGCCAGGAUUUCUUUUAAAUGCAAGAUUUUAUGUGGAUGCUAAGCCCGUAAGAAAAUCAAGACAACACUGGUAAGCACACCAGCUUCCCAGGCCUGGAAAAGGGCACUUAGCCAAUUCAAAAUGGCAACUGCAACAUGAUGGCAGAGUGAAUCCUACCAUGCUCCUUCAAAACUUUUCUGCUGCUAUCAUCACCUACAGAGCUCCCUACCUUUCAUUCUUAAAUCUCUUUGCUAUAGCAGCAUUCUUCCUUCCCCUGUGGGCUCACAGAGUGACUGCAUGAAGGGUUGGAUUGAAAACCACAUUGCUACAAAUCUGCACCUGGGUAAUCAGGCCAUUAAUGCCUAACAUCUAGCAAAACCUGAGGGGGAAUGGAAGAGGAAGAAGCAUUUGAAUUCCUAGCAAGUGCAAGGGAGUGAAGCCUGGCAAGUCAGGAAGUACAGAAUAACUUUCAGGGCUGAGAGGGAGAAGGACAGAGGCACACCAGGACCUGGAACUGAAGUCUGCCGGUUGCUGUCUACAGUGAGUUUUGCAGUGGACAGGGAGGCAAUGGAAAAGAACAAGGAGAUAGAGACAGCUUUUGGAGAUCAUAAAAGUUUCUCUGGAAAACAUAUUCCAUCAGAGCUCCUCUAUUGGACCAGUACAACAGCCUCAAGCAAGUUGAACCAGAUCAUGGCUACAGAUUCUCAAGAAACCCACAAAUGUGACUGCGGAAGUGGUUUCUGUGAGCCUAUGUUUUGAGUGUUCCAAACCUAGAGGGUUUCUGCCAUUGUUUUUCAGCCUUCGUGAGUCCUGGAGAAUGACAAGGCCCUAAGCAGCCCAUGACUAUACCUUAAGGCUGAAAGCUGUGUGUACUUUCUUUGGGAUGGUUUGAACUGAUAAUUUUAAACAAGUACACUAUUUUUCCCUUUUUUUUAGUUGUAGUUUUACUGUAUGUACUUUUGCAGUUUCUCACAGCAAUAAUUAUAUGCUUUUGCACUUGAACUUUGUAGAAAUUGAGUAGUUUCAUUCAACUGUAAUUUUGAAAAUAAAAAUUGCAUAAGUUCUAUAAAAGUACAUGUUGAGCCAUGAAAAUUAAAUUUA